rnacentral:rRNA from 1 species
AUUGAACGCUGGCGGCAUGCCUUACACAUGCAAGUCGAACGGCAGCACGGGUGCUUGCACCUGGUGGCGAGUGGCCAACGGGUGAGUAAUACAUCGGAACGUACCUUAUCGUGGGGGAUAACGCAGCCAAAGCUGUGCUAAUACCGCAUACGCCCUGAGGGGGAAAGCGGGGGAUCGCAAGACCUCGCGCGAUUAGAGCGGCCGAUGCCUGAAUAGCUUGUUGGUGGGGUAAAAGCCCACCAAGGCGACGAUCAGGAGCUGGUCUGAGAGGACGAUCAGCAGCACUGGGACUGAGCCACGGCCCAGACUCCUACGGGAGGCAGAAGUGGAGAAUUUUGGACAAUGGGGGAAACCCGGAGCCAGCAAUGCCGCGUGAGUGAAGAAGACCUUCGGGUUGUAAAGCGCUUUUGUCAGGGAAGAAACACCGGCUCUAACACAGUCCGGGAAUGACGGUACCUGAAGAAUAAGCACCGGCUAACUACGUGCCAGCCGCCGCGGUAA